AGCAGCCGCGGUAAUUCCAGCUCCAAUAGCGUAUAUUAAAGUUGUUGCAGUUAAAAAGCUCGUAGUUGAAUUUCGGGGUUCUACCGUUGGUCGGGCUACCAAGUCUGUACUGGUGUGUAGAAUUCCUACCUUCUGGGGAACUAUCAUGUUAUUAAUUUAGCGUGGUGGGAAACCAGGACCUUUACCUUGAAAAAAUUAGAGUGUUCAAAGCAGGCUUAUGUCUGAAUACAUUAGCAUGGAAUAAUAGAAUAGGACGGUGGUCCUGUUUUGUUGGUUUCUGAAUCACCGUAAUGAUUAAUAGGGAUAGUUGGGGGCAUUAGUAUUCAAUUGUCAGAGGUGAAAUUCUUGGAUUUAUUGAAGACUAACUUCUGCGAAAGCAUUUGCCAAGGAUGUUUUCAUUAAUCAAGAACGAAAGUUAGGGGAUCGAAGACGAUCAGAUACCGUCGUGGUCUUAACCAUAAACUAUGCCGACUAGGGAUCGGACGAUGUUAAAUUUUAUUGACUCGUUCGGCGCCUUACG
rnacentral:rRNA from 1 species